rnacentral:rRNA from 1 species
UACGUAGGUGGCAAGCGUUGUCCGGAAUUAUUGGGCGUAAAGCGCGCGCAGGCGGUCCUUUAAGUCUGAUGUGAAAGCCCACGGCCCAACCGUGGAGGGUCAUUGGAAACUGGGGGACUUGAGUGCAGAAGAGGAAAGCGGAAUUCCACGUGUAGCGGUGAAAUGCGUAGAGAUGUGGAGGAACACCAGUGGCGAAGGCGGCUUUCUGGUCUGUAACUGACGCUGAGGCGCGAAAGCGUGGGGAGCAAACAGG